GUUGGUGUCGGAGAAAACUCCCCAAAGACGAUUUGUGUGUGCGCCCAUCUCUACACAUAGUGUUAAAUUGUCACAGUUUUAGUUUCAAUGUGAAAGAACUCUGGCAUUGUGGCAAUGGUAUGAAAAUAACUUGGUCGAGUGCACGAGGGAAGCUCGCUUAAUAAAACCGAACUCACAAGGAUGACGAUUUGAACUCGGCCAAAUCCGUGACGCGUUCAGAGGGCUUUCCAACGAAAUAAUUCAUUCGUCCCGGAAAUCAAAUAAUAACAUUGUCUGGCGGUGAUUUCAAAUUCAGACUGGAUGCCGACGAAUACCAGAAAUAUCGGAGAUUGCUAGACGCACUCUUCUGUUGUUGUGACGCAAUCGAAAGUUUUUGGGUGGAGGAAAAACGCAAAUCAAACUCAAGAAGUAGACGCCGUUCCAACGAAUAACAAAAAAAUUGACAAUUGAAGGCCUCGAAUAUCUUCUGUUCGUUGGAAUUUCGACGAGAGCAAUAGCUCAACUGACCCACAUUGGACUUUACACACCAAGAAUAGUGAUUACCAAAUUCUGGUGUAUGAUCAAAACUUGCUGAUCUUUUUAUUUAUUUUCGUCUGUAAAAAAUCUAAUCCAAACAAAUGAAACGACGGAUAAACCGAACGGAAAGUAUGUAGCCCGUCAUAUCGUCCAGACUGCGACAGGUAAUUCCCAGAUUUCACAAUGCCUCGGGAUCAUCUGAGUAAUUAAAAUUGUUAUCGUCCUUGAGUGUUUUGGGGUAGAGUUAGUGCAUAUUGAAGCAAGUGAAGCAGUUAGAUCAACCAAUUUAAUAAUUAUGUGAUUAAUCAAUUUAGAGUUUUACUUCUUAUAAAUAGAUAGCGCUAAGGAAACUAGUCACUGUUACAUCAGGACUUAUUUUAAAAGAGAUUAUCUAGUGAGCGGGAAGGGUUUAAUUAAUGUGUAUGAAGGCUUUAUUUGGGAUGGUUUUACACAAAACG
rnacentral:lncRNA from 1 species